rnacentral:lncRNA from 1 species
AGGGAAUACAAGAAGAAGAAAAAAAGCCUACCAUGACAGUUCUCCAGAGGACAGUACCUAACAAUAUCUGAGUAGCAUGCUCAGCAGAAAGCACAGCCACACUGGAGGACAUCAGGAGAACCCAGCUAAGUAUUGCAUGGUCCGGGUUCCGCACCAGGCCUUGCUCCUCCUUCAGUUGCUUGAUACUCUGUUUCUCGUGCACUGAGACCAGCUGACCCGCCUCGACCGCCUUCACAAAGGCCACUGUUCUGGGAGAAGGCUUGUCCAACACUAUAGUGUUCUGAAUAAUGAACAUGAGAGGAAUUCCAGGAGUCCUCUUGACUUUCACAGAUAAGUUCUGAUCCUAUUAAAAAGGAAAGGGGUUUGGUUUCUCAAUCAAAAUUAGAACCUAAAAUUAAGUUUCUAUUAAAAAAGGCUAGAUGGGGAAAAAAAGAACUAUAUGUUUUCUUUUUCAGAUGACAUGUCUUAUUAAUCAAAAUGUAUCUUACGGUAGAGGACAGAAAACAUAAAGACUAAGCAGAAUGAAGCCACUCAACAGCAGUCGGGGCUGGAUCAGUCAACACUCUGGGCCCACGAAUUAUCAACCAAUGCAACAGAAAAUACAUUAGAAACUUUCUCUUGCCUUUCCACUAGAUAUUCUCUCGAAACAUCGACAAGGGAAGAGGUUGGAGCAGAGUAAUAAGCUGACUCCACAAUCAUAUCUGUAUACCUCAUGUGUGCCUAGGUGGCCGUAAGAUGGCGGUGGGUUCCUUGAGACUGUAGGUACACAUGGUUGAGAGCAGCUGUAUAGGUGUUGGGAAUUAAACCAAGAGCAGCCAGCUCUUAACCCCUGAGCCAUCUCUGCAGCCUCCUGAUGCUAAUCUCAGAGCACAUGCACCAUGAGCUGAGAAGCAGGAAUUCAGGAACAUGCUAGGUUAUGAGUCCAGAAGGCAGAGACUGCCCGACUCCUCCCUGCUUGAAGAACCGUGACGCAAUCAGCACACUACUGCAACAGCUCCUCAGCCUCUAGAAGGAAACUUCUGAAGGAAAAAAAGUCCCCCAAACUUAGUCUCCUCCUCAUAUGUUCAAAUGGACCAGAUACAAUGAGCCUUCCAGAUACUGAAGAGGACUCCAGGUCACUAUUACAACUUCAAAAAUCACUAACACAGAAUCAACAACAACUUAUGUAUCCUGUUUGAAUCCUGAUUUUAAAAAAUAAACAAAUGAAAAAUAAGAAAAAAAA